rfam:Toxocara canis scaffold358, whole genome shotgun sequence.
GCGGCAGUAGCUCAGUGGUAGAGACCCGCCUGGCAUGCGAGGAGGCCUGGGUUUGAUCCCCGGCUGCUUCC